rnacentral:rRNA from 1 species
UACAGAGGGUGCAAGCGUUAAUCGGAAUUACUGGGCGUAAAGCGUGCGUAGACGGUUACAUAAGUCGGGUGUGAAAGCCCCGGGCUCAACCUGGGAAUUGCAUUCGAGACUGCGUAGCUAGGGUGCGGAAGAGGGAAGCGGAAUUUCCGGUGUAGCGGUGAAAUGCGUAGAUAUCGGAAGGAACACCAGUGGCGAAAGCGGCUCCUGGUCCAGCACCGACGUCAGGCACGAAAGCGUGGGGAGCAAACAGG